GCUGGGAUAGCGAAGCGGUCAAACGCGCCUGACUGUAAAUCAGGUGGUCCACACCUUCGUAGGUUCGAAUCCUACUCCCAGCACCA
rnacentral:tRNA from 1 species